AUACAUUUAUUGGCCUUUUGGUUUAAGAUCAAAUGUAGUAUAUGUUCUUAUCAGUUUAAUAUCUGAUACGUGGACCAUUGGUCCACAUGAUAUUAAAUUAAUUUUUUAAGAGGAAGAGUCCAUCACAAUAGCUUGCUAUUGGGGUUUUUAUGGGUCGCCUAAGUGUUGCACUACUUCUUGGGCCUGGCACACCCCAC